UGGGGGCCCCGCGAGCCCCCUCCCGUUGAGAAGCAAUUGGGAAAACUUCCAGCCUAAGAGUAAACUUGCUGCCGAGGGCGACGCCCUACGUCCUGAGUCCUGGCGGAGGGGCCACGGGGCUCUGUGCGAUGGGUGACAGAAACAUGCCUGCCGACACCAGCCGUUCUUGGAAAUGUGUCGUGGCUGUUUACAAAGUAGCUUUAUUGAGACAUAAUUUACGCACCGUAACAUUCACCCGUUUUACGCGUACACUUUACAGGUAUUUAUUGUAUUUGCGGUGCAGGCAUCACAAUCUAAUUUUGGAGCAUUUCCACCGUUCCGAAAGGAAACCUCGUGCCCAGUAGCGAUCCCUCCCCGCAGCCACUGAUUUACUUUCUGUCUCUACAAGUUUGUUCUGGACGCUUCCUGGAAAUGGAACAAUGCAGUACUCCGCCUUUUGCCUCCGGCUUUUUCCCCUCCUACCAUCAUGUUUUUGAUAUUCGUCCAGGUAGUAGCAUUUAUCAAUGCUUCUGUUCUUUUAUGUUGCCAGAUAAUAUUCCAUUGUGUGCGUAUACAGUGGUUUGACUUAACCAGUCCAUCCAUUCAUCGUUGUUUGCAGUUUGGGGUUUGGUGAACAGGACUGCCACGUACAAGUCUUUGUGCGCAGCCUUUGGUCUCCCCCGGUCCUGCGGCACCUGGCCGGAGCUCUGGAGCUCGGAAUCACCCCGGCGUCUCCCUCAAGUGCUGUAACCAUCGGCAGCUGAGUGGAGCGCUUGGGACCCGAGUCUGGCAGGAGGAGGCGGGCAUCGCGGCUUAUGCAGGGUUCUGCUACUUCUGUUGGAGUCUGGGCUUGGCGAGUGGGACGCUGAGACCCGUGUGUGGCAGGUCCUGGAGCGGCGGUGACUUCGUGGCCUCCGCGGAAGCGUGCGAAGAAUGGAGCCUUGGAGGGGCAGGGAUCCCUCGGAUGUCGGAGAAGAGAGACGGAGGUGUGCGUCGGCCAACUUCCCCUGAAACCUUGAGGUGUUCUUCUAUCCACCGCUGCUUGUCCUUGGCCCCCCCUUAUGACUUAGCAGCCUGCGGUCACCUGAUGUCACCAGGGCCGAAAGACACUUUAGAAACGCAGACGUGCCAGUGAGGAGGCUCAUCGGCUCCCCCCGUCUGCCUUGGACGUGGCCAGUUUGGGCCCAGAAAGUUCUGUGCCUUGCACGCUUCCCCUUCCCGCCCCACGUGACCCUGGGUGGGGGUCACCCUGCCUGCUGCUCUGGAUGGAGGGGGCUCGCCAGGGUGUAAGUGCCUGCCCCCCGGUCCCAGGAAGGGGUGGGUUUCAGCCAAAAAGCUGCACCGUAUGAUUUUGAAACGAACCGGUUCGGUCAGUUGGCUGUGCACUUGGAGACUAGAACACGAACAGUGGAGUCUGACCCCACGAAUCGUACUGUCCGGGGAGGCGGGCGACAGCCUGAAAAUCUCGGAGCGCCAUCCCUGCCUGAAAUGGUGCAUCGGAAGGACAGACGGUGGAAAACGAAGCGUGAUUUACUGACUUAAGCUGCCCCUGGCCUUUUGUGGGGUGUUUGUACAUUCUGCAGAAUAAUGAGCCUGAGACGCAGCACGCUUAAAGAUGGUGACCUAGUUGGGGCGCCUGGGUGGCGCAGUCGGUUAA